rnacentral:rRNA from 1 species
AUGAACGCUGGCGGCGUGCCUAAUACAUGCAAGUCGAGCGAACGGACGAGAAGCUUGCUUCUCUGAUGUUAGCGGCGGACGGGUGAGUAACACGUGGAUAACCUACCUAUAAGACUGGGAUAACUUCGGGAAACCGUAGCUAAUACCGGAUAAUAUUUUGAACCGCAUGGUUCAAAAGUGAAAGACGGUCUUGCUGUCACUUAUAAAUGGAUCCGCGCUGCAUUAGCUAGUUGGUAAGGUAACGGCUUACCAAGGCAACGAUGCAUAGCCGACCUGAGAGGGUGAUCGGCCACACUGGAACUGAGACACGGUCCAGACUCCUACGGGAGGCAGCAGUAGGGAAUCUUCCGCAAUGGGCGAAAGCCUGACGGAGCAACGCCGCGUGAGUGAUGAAGGUCUUCGGAUCGUAAAACUCUGUUAUUAGGGAAGAACAUAUGUGUAAGUAACUGUGCACAUCUUGACGGUACCUAAUCAGAAAGCCACGGCUAACUACGUG